CCUACGGGGGGCAGCAGUGAGGAAUAUUGGUCAAUGGGCGGAAGCCUGAACCAGCCAAGUAGCGUGCAGGAUGACGGCCCUACGGGUUGUAAACUGCUUUUAUACGGGAAUAACGCGCCUUACGUGUAGGGCUUUGCAUGUACCUUAUGAAUAAGGACCGGCUAAUUCCGUGCCAGCAGCCGCGGUAAUACGGAAGGUCCGAGCGUUAUCCGGAUUUAUUGGGGUUAAAGGGUGCGUAGGCUGUCGGAUAAGUUAGAGGUCAAAUGUUGGGGCUUAACCCCGUGCCUGCCUCUGAUACUGUUAGACUAGAGAGCGGAUGCGGCAGGCGGAAUGAGUAGUGUAGCGGUGAAAUGCUUAGAUAUUACUCAGAACACCGAUUGCGCAGGCAGCUUGCUAAGCCGCAUCUGACGCUGAUGCACGAAAGCGUGGGUAGCGAACAGGAUUAGAUACCCGGGUAGUC
rnacentral:rRNA from 1 species